CUUUUUUUGACAAGUACGUCAACUGUUGCGUGAGAGCGGCAGUUUUCGGGCGGCGGCCGGAGCGGUCGGACGUGUGUCUGUGCGUGCGUCUUGUUCGUUAAAUUAUUAAAUAAAUUAUUAAACCGCGACCGCGACACGAAUUAAUUAAAGUGAUUCUGUGCUGUGCUGUGUUGUGCUGCGAAAUUUUAAGGAUAUUUUGUACAAAGGACCGUUUAACCGCAAAAAUUUUUAUCACAUGUUUUGAAGCAAGGGUCGUACUGUUGCUCGCCCAACACGAAUAAACAGUCGUCAAAUGUGCUAACCAUUGCAAUUUCCGCUUGGAGUUAUGAAUUUUGAGAGCUCAAAAGCUGGUGUCUGUGUUGGAUUGCUUUACGGACUGGUUGCGGCCGGCCUGCGGGAUCCGGAGGACUUCAAAGACAUUCUUCGUCUGGAUCUUCAAAAAUUAUUUUUUUUUAACUGGCAAUAAUUAUUAUUGAACAUUGUUAUAUAUUUGUGUGAUUGAUUAUGUUUUAUGAAUAAACGCUAGAGAAAUGUGUCUU